rnacentral:tmRNA from 1 species
GGGGGCGACUGGUUUCGACAUGGUACGUUUGAACUGAGGAGCAGGUCGUGGUCUCCUCGCCACGUUAAACAGGGGUACCGUCAAGUUAAUUGGCAAAUCUAACACUCAGAGCGCUCCGGCGCUCGCCAUGGCUGCUUAAUUAACGCGGCCCGUCAACCCCGGGAUGUUCCCGACUCGGGCGCGACGUCAUUUCAGGGAACUGCGACAAGGCACGUAGUCCGUAUGGCCUUGGCUAAGAUCGAACGGGCUAGAAUCGCCUACGCGUGUCCGCGAGCCGCAGCGAUUCGAAUUCUGACCGCGGAAUAAGCUUGUAGAGCCUGAGGGAUUGCGUAGUAUGGACCGGAGUUCGAUUCUCCGCGCCUCCACCA